UUUGAUCUGAAUACUAUUCAAAUAAAAUACCUGGAUGAGGAAAAUGAAGAGGUAUCCAUCAACAGUCAAGGAGAAUAUGAAGAAGCACUUAAGAAAUGUAAAGAGAAAGGGAUCCAAAUGCCACACUAUUGAGGAUUUUUUUGAUCACUCUGAUUGUCAUGAGUAAGUUUUGUGCUUUUUCAAAAGCAGUUUUUUCCUGCAAUGUCAUUUCCUGCUUCUCUGGCUCUGAUUUUCAAUAAAUUGAUAAAUUGUAAAUCUUGUUUUCCUCUUAUUUUUGUUUAGCUAAAAUGUUGAAGGGCAAGGGAGAGGAUGGUUAUUUAUAAAUCUUGUUCUCUCUCUGAAAACACAACUUGCAUUUUCCUUAAUCUGAUUAACUUGACUUCAAAUAUGAAAAACAACUUUCAUAAAGCACAAAAGAAAAUUUCCUUGAAUUUACCCUUUUUUAUUGUGGGUAAGAGGCAAUAAGUACAAGUUUUCAACUUAUUUUUUAAAUGUUACUCACUACUAAUGACCGUAUUUUAAAAAGUUAAUCGAAGAACUAAUGUAGUUUAGUUUAUUAUUUAAUUUAUUCAACAAAUGUUUAUUGAGUGGCAGCUAGGUCCCAAGUACUGUUCUAACUACUGAAGAUACAGAUGUACAUAAACAAAACAAAAAUCUCUGCUGCCAUCCUGGAGUUUACGUUCUGUGGUACUCGAAAUAAAGGAUGGAUACAUUACAUAGAAUGUCAGCUAGUCAUAAAUGUUAUGGAGAAACAGCAGGAAUGGAGGAUAAAGUGUGUCUUGAGGGUGUUGUAAUUUUAAAUAGCGGUGUCUGGAAAUGAAAAGGUGGUAUUUCAAUCAAGAUUUUCAGACCAUGGCUGGGUGCAGAGGCUCACACCUGUAAUCCCAGCACUUUGAGAGGCCAAGGUGGGUAGAUCACUUGAGGUCAGG